AGUGAACGCUGGCGGUAGGCCUAACACAUGCAAGUCGAACGGCAGCACAGAGGAGCUUGCUCCUUGGGUGGCGAGUGGCGGACGGGUGAGGAAUACAUCGGAAUCUACUCUGUCGUGGGGGAUAACGUAGGGAAACUUACGCUAAUACCGCAUACGACCUACGGGUGAAAGCAGGGGACCUUCGGGCCUUGCGCGAUUGAAUGAGCCGAUGUCGGAUUAGCUAGUUGGCGGGGUAAAGGCCCACCAAGGCGACGAUCCGUAGCUGGUCUGAGAGGAUGAUCAGCCACACUGGAAGUGGGACACGGUCCAGCCUCCUACGGGAGGCAGGAGUGGGGAAUAUUGGACAAUGGGCGCAAGCCUGAUCCAGCCAUACCGCGUGGGUGAAGAAGGCCUUCGGGUUGUAAAGCCCUUUUGUUGGGAAAGAAAUCCAGCUGGCUAAUACCCGGUUGGGAUGACGGUACCCAAAGAAUAAGCACCGGCUAACUUCGUGCCAGCAGCCGCCGUAA
rnacentral:rRNA from 1 species